rnacentral:rRNA from 1 species
UUUUUGAAACAUUUCUUAUUGAUUAAAAUAUUAAGUAUUCUCUGCCCAAUGAUUUAUUUAAUGGCUGCAGUAUUUUAACUGUACAAAGGUAGCAUAAUCAAUUGUUUUUUAAUUGAAUUCUAGAAUGAAUGAGAGAAUGAAAUUUAUACUUUAUUAAAUAAAUAAUUUGAAUUUUAUUAUAGGGUUAAAAAGCUUUAAUUAUUUUAAGGGACGAGAAGACCCUAUAGAAUUUUAUAUUUUAUUAGAAGUUUUAAUAAUUUAAUUAAGAUAAAAUAUUUAUUUGGGAGGAAUUUUAAAUUGAUUUAACUUUAAAAUUUUAUUUUCAUUAUUAAAUGUUUGUAUAAAUAAAUAAAAUUUAAAUUAAAUUACCUUAGGGAUAACAGUGUAAUAUUAUUUAAUAGUUCUUAUUGAAAAUAAUGUUUGCGACCUCGGGUU